rnacentral:rRNA from 1 species
GACGAACGCUGGCGGCGUGCUUAACACAUGCCAGUCGAACGGAAAGGCCCUGCUUUUGUGGGGUGCUCGAGUGGCGAACGGGUGAGUAACACGUGAGUAACCUGCCCUUGACUUUGGGAUAACUUCAGGAAACUGGGGCUAAUACCGGAUAGGAGCUCCUGCUGCAUGGUGGGGGUUGGAAAGUUUCGGCGGUUGGGGAUAGACUCGCGGCUUAUCAGCUUGUUGGUGGGGUAGUGGCUUACCAAGGCUUUGACGGGUAGCCGGCCUGAGAGGGUGACCGGCCACAUUGGUACUAAGCUACGGCCCAGACUCCUACGGGAGGCAGCAGUGGGGAGUAUUGCACAAUGGGCGGAAGCCUGAUGCAGCAACGCCGCGUUCGGGAUGACGGCCUUCGGGUUGUAAACCGCUUUCGCCUGUGACGAAGCGUGAGUGACGGUAAUGGAUAAAGAAGCACCGGCUAACUACGUG